GAUGAACGCUGGCGGCGUGCCUAACACAUGCAAGUCGAGCGGAAAUAUUCAGAAGUAUACGUACGGAUGGAUAUUUUAGCGGCGGACGGGUGAGUAACACGUGAGCAACCUACCUUUUGCUGGGGAAUAACAUCGGGAAACCGAUGCUAAUACCGCAUGACAUUCCGAUGGGGCAUCCUGUUGGAAUCAAAGGAGAGAUCCGGCAAGAGAUGGGCUCGCGUCCGAUUAGCUGGUUGGUGAGGUAACGGCUCACCAAGGCGACGAUCGAUAGCCGGACUGAGAGGUUGGACGGCCACAUUGGGACUGAGACACGGCCCAGACUCCUACGGGAGGCAGCAGUGGGGAAUAUUGGGCAAGUGGGGGAAACCCUGACCCAGCAACGCCGCGUGAAGGACGAAGGCCUUCGGGUUGUAACUUCUUUGAUCAGGGACGAAAGACGAUGACGGUACCUGAGGAACAAGACCACGGCUAACUACGUGCCAGCAGCCGCGGUAAUAUCACGU
rnacentral:rRNA from 1 species